GAUGAACGCUGGCGGCGUGCCUAAUACAUGCAAGUCGAGCGAACGGACGAGAAGCUUGCUUCUCUGAUGUUAGCGGCGGACGGGUGAGUAACACGUGGAUAACCUACCUAUAAGACUGGGAUAACUUCGGGAAACCGGAGCUAAUACCGGAUGAUAUUUUGAACCGCAUGGUUCAAAAGUGAAAGACGGUCUUGCUGUCACUUAUAGAUGGAUCCGCGCUGCAUUAGCUAGUUGGUAAGGUAACGGCUUACCAAGGCAACGAUGCAUAGCCGACCUGAGAGGGUGAUCGGCCACACUGGAACUGAGACACGGUCCAGACUCCUACGGGAGGCAGCAGUAGGGAAUCUUCCGCAAUGGGCGAAAGCCUGACGGUGCAACGCCGCGUGAGUGAUGAAGGUCCUCGGAUCGUAAAACUCUGUUAUUAGGGAAGAACAUAUGUGUAAGUAACUGUGCACAUCUUGACGGUACCUAAUCAGAAAGCCACGGCUAACUCCGUG
rnacentral:rRNA from 1 species